ncrna:Schistosoma mansoni type-P1 twister ribozyme
CAUUUAACUCCGCCUGUAGCUCUGAUAGAGUUAAUGCCGGUCCCAAGCCCGGGUAAAGGAGGAGGGUUGG